AACGCCCUCAUCCACUUUGACUUCCUGGACCCGCCGCCCCACGAGACGCUGGUGCUGGCGCUGGAGCAGCUCUACGCCCUGGGCGCCCUCAACCACCUGGGCGAGCUCACCACGCUGGGCCGGCGCAUGGCGGAGCUGCCCGUGGAGCCCAUGUUGGCCAAGAUGAUCCUGGCGUCGGAGCAGUGAGUGUCCCUGCGUCCCCCCACGCGUGUCCCUGUUGUCUCCGUGGUGGUGUCCCCGCGAACGGCUUGCCAUCCGUGUCCCCAGCCCUGCGGUGACGUCCCCGUUCCCAGGUCCAGCUGUGCAGAGGAGGCGCUCCCAGUGACCUCCCUGUCCCCAGGGUGAUGUCUCUAUCCUUGGGGUGAUGUCCUCGUCCCUAGGCUGAUGUCCCCCAUCCCCGGGGUGCCAUCCCAGUCCCCGGGGUGAUGUCUCCAUGCCUGGGGUGAUGGCCUCAUCCCCAGGGUGCUGUCCCCGUUCCUGGGGGUGAUGUCUCCCUCCUGGGGGUGACGUCUCCAUCCUUGAGGUGAUGUCUCCAUGCCUGGGGUGAUGUCCCCAUCCCCAGGGUGAUGUCCCUAUCCCUGUCCCUGGGGUGACAUCUCCAUCCUUGGGGUGACAUCCCCAUCCCCAAGCUGAUGUCUCCAUCCCUGGGGUGAUGGCCCCGUCCCCGAUGGGAUGUCCCCAUCCCCAGGUUGACGUCCCCACCCCCAGGAUGACAUCUCCAUCCCUGGGGUGAUGUCCCCGUCGCCAAGUUGACGUCUCCAUCCCCGGGUUGAUGUCUCCAUCCCUGGAGUGACGUCUCCAUCCCUGGGGUGAUAGUGAUGUCCCCAUCCCUGGGUUGAUGUACCCAUCCUUGGGGUGAUGUCUUCAUGCCCAGGUUGAUGUCCCCGUCCCCGGGUUGACGUUCCCGUCCCCGAUGUGAUGUCUCCAUACCUGGGUUGAUGUCUCCAUCGCCAGGUUGAUGUCCUCAUCCUCGGGGUGACGUCUCCAUGCCCGGGUUGAUGUCCCCGUCCCCGGGUUGACGUCCCCAUCUCCAGGGUGACGUCCCCAUCCCCCAGUUGACAUCCCUGUCCCCAACGUGACGUCUCCAUUGCCAGGUUGAUGUCCCCAUCCCUGGGGUGACGUCUCCAUGCCUGGGUUGACGUCCCCGUCCCUAAGUUGACGUCCCCAUCCCCAGGUUGACGUCCUCCACCCCAGGUUGACGUUUCCAUGCCUGGGUUGACAUCCCCGUCCCCAGGUUGACGUCCCCGUCCCCGACGUGCCGUCUCCAUGCCCGGGGUG
rnacentral:lncRNA from 1 species